rnacentral:rRNA from 1 species
UACAGAGGUGGCAAGCGUUGUUCGGAUUUACUGGGCGUAAAGGGUGCGUAGGAGGUUGUGUGUGUCGGAUGUGAAAUCUUGCUGUUUAUCGGCAAAACGGCAUUCGAAACUACAUGACUAGAGUGCAGGAGAGGAGAGCGGAAUUCUCGGUGUAGCGGUGAAAUGCGUUGAUAUCGAGAGGAACGCCGGUGGUGAAGACGGCUCUCUGGACUGUAACUGACUCUGAGGCACGAAAGAUGGGGGAGCAAACAGG